rfam:Picea glauca, whole genome shotgun sequence.
GUAGCGGUGUCUUUAGACACCACCUUUUGUCAUUGAAAUUUGUAUU